UACGUAGGGUGCAAGCGUUGUCCGGAAUUAUUGGGCGUAAAGAGCUCGUAGGCGGUCUGUCGCGUCUGCUGUGAAAACCUAGGGCUUAACUCUGGGCGUGCAGUGGGUACGGGCAGGCUAGAGUGCGGUAGGGGAGACUGGAAUUCCUGGUGUAGCGGUGAAAUGCGCAGAUAUCAGGAGGAACACCGGUGGCGAAGGCGGGUCUCUGGGCCGUAACUGACGCUGAGACGCGAAAGCGUGGGGAGCGAACAGG
rnacentral:rRNA from 1 species